GGAGGGGUGGCGGAGCCUGGUUGAACGCACCGGUCUUGAAAACCGGCAUACCUUUACGGGUAUCGUGGGUUCGAAUCCCACCCCCUCCG
rnacentral:tRNA from 1 species